rnacentral:rRNA from 1 species
UACAGAGGUCUCAAGCGUUGUUCGGAUUCACUGGGCGUAAAGGGUGUGUAGGUGGCGCGCUAAGUCGGGUGUGAAAUUUCGGAGCUUAACUCCGAAACUGCAUUCGAUACUGGCGUGCUUGAGGACUGGAGAGGAGACUGGAAUUCAUGGUGUAGCAGUCGAAAUGCGUAGAGAUCAUGAGGAAGACCAGUGGCGAAGGCGGGUCUCUGGACAGUUCCUGACACUGAGACACGAAGGCCAGGGGAGCAAACGGG